UGAACGCUGGCGGUAGGCCUAACACAUGCAAGUCGACCGGCAGCACAGUAAGAGCUUGCUCUUACGGGUGGCGAGUGGCGGACGGGUGAGGAAUACAUCGGAAUCUACUUUUUCGUGGGGGAUAACGUAGGGAAACUUACGCUAAUACCGCAUACGACCUACGGGUGAAAGCAGGGGAUCUUCGGACCUUGCGCGAUUGAAUGAGCCGACGUCGGAUUAGCUAGUUGGCGGGGUAAAGGCCCACCAAGGCGACGAUCCGUAGCUGGUCUGAGAGGAUGAUCAGCCACACUGGAACUGAGACACGGUCCAGACUCCUACGGGAGGCAGCAGUGGGGAAUAUUGGACAAUGGGCGCAAGCCUGAUCCAGCCAUACCGCGUGGGUGAAGAAGGCCUUCGGGUUGUAAAGCCCUUUUGUUGGGAAAGAAAAGCAGCAGGUUAAUACCCCGCUGUUCUGACGGUACCCAAAGAAUAAGCACCGGCUAACUUCGUG
rnacentral:rRNA from 1 species